GAAUCAAUUAUUGGGCUGAUGUUUGUGAUUAGGAAUUAAUGGUUCAAAUGUAGUGAAGUAAGAGCAGUAAAUCAGCUGAUGUUGGCUAUACAAUACGCUUAUUUGUCAAUCGUGGUACCAAAGAUUCUGCUCGUUAUGUGGUGAAACACCAAUUGACAUCAAACUAACCAAGAAAGCCUCCGAAAGAAGAGAUGGGAACCUUUUCGGUUUCGCAAUACACGGAGACGGCAACAUCGAAACGCUUUCUCCGACACGACUGCAACUUGUGGUGAAGGAGGGUAUGCAGAAGGGAAAUUGAAAACUGGAAACCUCGUUGCGAUUAAGCGGCUGAACCAUGGUCCGUCGGAAGAGAUAACCAUCGAUUUCUUAUCUGAGCUCAGAAUUGUAGUUCAUGUUGAUCAUCCAAAUAUUGCUAAGUUGAUUGGUUAUAUAAUAUAUUUUUUAAAUUUAUUUUAUAUAUUAAAAA